rnacentral:misc_RNA from 2 species
AACGCACAUUGCGCCCCUUGGUAUUCCAUGGGGCAUGCCUGUUCGAGCGUCAUUUGUACCCUCAAGCUCUGCUUGGUGUUGGGUGUUUGUCCCGCCUUUGGUGCGUGGACUCGCCUCAAAAUAAUUGGCAGCCGGCAUAUUGGCCUUGGAGCGCAGCACAUUUUGCGCUUCUAGUCAAUGAUUGUUGGCGUCCAGCAAGUACAAAUCUCAACUUUUGACCUCGGAUCAGGUAGGGAUACCCGCUGAACUUAA